rnacentral:rRNA from 1 species
UACGUAGGGUGCAAGCGUUGUCCGGAAUUAUUGGGCGUAAAGAGCUCGUAGGCGGUCUGUCGCGUCGGAUGUGAAAACCCAGGGCUCAACCCUGGGCCUGCAUUCGAUACGGGCAGACUAGAGUUCGGUAAGGGAGACUGGAAUUCCUGGUGUAGCGGUGAAAUGCGCAGAUAUCAGGAGGAACACCGGUGGCGAAGGCGGGUCUCUGGGCCUUACCUGACGCUCAGGCGCGAAAGCUAGGGGAGCAAACAGG